UUUUUACAAUCUUUUCCCUAAUAUAGAAAAAUUGUUAGAAUUUUAAAAGGAAAGUUACAUAGUUCUCAAGAUUUAGGAGAUCAUUUGGUCAGAAACUUCAACAGCCUUCACAGUCUGUUUAUGAUUGACAAGACAUUUUCUUUGCUCUCCAAAGCUAUGGAGUCUUUACUUUUUUUCUUGUUCUUGAACUAUAGCAAUUCAGUA
rnacentral:lncRNA from 1 species